rnacentral:rRNA from 1 species
UACGUAGGGUGCAAGCGUUGUUCGGAGUUACUGGGCGUAAAGAGUGCGUAGGCGGUCCUGUAAGUUUGGUGUGAAAUCUCCCGGCUCAACUGGGAGGGUGCGCCGAAGACUGCAGGGCUUGAGUAUGGAGAGGUAAGCGGAAUUCCUGGUGUAGCGGUGAAAUGCGUAGAUAUCAGGAGGAACACCUGUGGUGUAGACAGCUUACUGGACCAUAACUGACGCUGAGGCACGAAAGCGUGGGUAGCAAACAGG